rnacentral:rRNA from 1 species
GAUGAACGCUGGCGGCGUGCCUAAUACAUGCAAGUCGAGCGAACGGACGAGAAGCUUGCUUCUCUGAUGUUAGCGGCGGACGGGUGAGUAACACGUGGAUAACCUACCUAUAAGACUGGGAUAACUUCGGGAAACCGUAGCUAAUACCGGAUAAUAUUUUGAACCGCAUGGUUCAAAAGUGAAAGACGGUCUUGCUGUCACUUAUAGAUGGAUCCGCGCUGCAUUAGCUAGUUGGUAAGGUAACGGCUUACCAAGGCAACGAUGCAUAGCCGACCUGAGAGGGUGAUCGGCCACACUGGAACUGAGACACAGUCCAGACUCCUACGGGAGGCAGCAGUAGGGAAUCUUCCGCAAUGGGCGAAAGCCUGACGGAGCAACGCCGCGUGAGUGAUGAAGGUCUUCGGAUCGUAAAACUCCGUUAUUAGGGAAGAACAUAUGUGUAAGUAACUGUGCACAUCUUGACGGUACCUAAUCAGAAAGCCACGGCUAACUACGUG